rnacentral:lncRNA from 1 species
AUUGUAUGUGGUGGCCUUUUGGGGUUCCUGUGGAGCAGGAAGCAAGUUCAGUGACAAUAUACAGAUAAAAUUCAGACUGUUGUUCUGCAAGUGCUUGUUACUACUUCACUCUGAAAAGGAAUCAAACCUAGAUUAGAAGUUUCAUUCUUCGGCCAGUGCAGACUGCAGUGCAGAAGCUCAAGAUGUCUUUCAAGCUACAAAUGAGAAUCAACAAUAAAAAUCCAAUGCUGGUUUCUGAACACUGGAGUGAACACAAACAAGGAGUAUUGUUUCAGGGGGUCUCUGUCACCUUUUAUUCUUCUGAAUAACUGAAUGUAUGUGAAAAUUUGAA